rnacentral:rRNA from 1 species
UUAACCUUAAAUUAGGUAGAAAUACCUACUAAACUUAAGCAUAUCAAUAAGCGGAGGA